AUACUUACCUGGACGGGGUCAAUGGGCGAUCAAUAAGACCUAUGGCCUAGGUUGGUGACCUCCAUUGCACUUUGGAGGGGUGCCCGCCUAAGGUCGGCCCAAGUGGUCGAGCCUAUGUCAUAAUUUGUGGUAGCAGGGGCUUGCGUUCGCGCGGCCCCUAC